GUACUUGUUUCGGCAGUACAUAUAUUAAAAUUGGAACGAUAGAGGGAAGAUUAGCAUGGCCUCUGCGCAAGGAU
rnacentral:snRNA from 1 species